GAGUAGACCAAGGCGCUUGAGAGAACUCUGCUGAAGGAACUAGGCAAAAUGGUACCGUAACUUCGGGAGAAGGUACGCUGUUGUUGGUGAUGGAACUCGCUUCCUGAGCUGACGACAGCCGCAGAAACCAGGCCGCUGCAACUGUUUAUUAAAAACAUAGCACUCUGCAAACACGAAAGUGGACGUAUAGGGUGUGAUGCCUGCCCGGUGCUGGAAGGUUAAUUGAUGGGGUUAGCGUAAGCGAAGCUCUUGAUCGAAGCCCCAGUAAACGGCGGCCGUAACUAUAACGGUCCUAAGGUAGCGAAAUUCCUUGUCGGGUAAGUUCCGACCUGCACGAAUGGCAUAAUGAUGGCGGCGCUGUCUCCAGCAGAGGCUCAGUGAAAUCGAAAUCGCUGUGAAGAUGCAGUGUACCCGCGGCUAGACGGAAAGACCCCGUGAACCUUUACUGCAGCUUGACACUGAACUUUGACCUUACUUGUGUAGGAUAGGUGGGAGGCUUUGAAGCUGGAACGCUAGUUCCAGUGGAGCCGUCCUUGAAAUACCACCCUGGUAAUGUUGAGGUUCUAACUCUGUCCCGUGAUCCGGGACGAGGACCGUGUCUGGUGGGUAGUUUGACUGGGGCGGUCUCCUCCUAAAGAGUAACGGAGGAGUACGAAGGUGCGCUCAGCGUGGUCGGAAAUCACGCGUAGAGUAUAAAGGCAAAAGCGCGCUUAACUGCGAGACCCACAAGUCGAGCAGGUACGAAAGUAGGUCUUAGUGAUCCGGUGGUUCUGUAUGGAAGGGCCAUCGCUCAACGGAUAAAAGGUACUCUGGGGAUAACAGGCUGAUACCGCCCAAGAGUUCAUAUCGACGGCGGUGUUUGGCACCUCGAUGUCGGCUCAUCUCAUCCUGGGGCUGAAGCAGGUCCCAAGGGUAUGGCUGUUCGCCAUUUAAAGAGGUACGCGAGCUGGGUUUAGAACGUCGUGAGACAGUUCGGUCCCUAUCUACCGUGGGCGCUGGAAAUUUGAGAGGAUCUGCUCCUAGUACGAGAGGACCAGAGUGGACGAACCUCUGGUGUACCGGUUGUGACGCCAGUCGCAUCGCCGGGUAGCUAUGUUCGGAAGGGAUAACCGCUGAAAGCAUCUAAGCGGGAAGCCUACCUCAAGAUAAGAUUUCCCUAGGACUUUAUGUCCUCUAAAGAGCCGUUCGAGACUAGGACGUUGAUAGGUUGGAUGUGGAAGCAUAGUGAUAUGUGAAGCUGACCAAUACUAAUUGCUCGUGAGGCUUGACUAUACAACACCCAAGCAGUUG
rnacentral:rRNA from 1 species